GGCUGCCGUGUGGAGUCUAGCUGGGCUUGGCCUUGCUUUUUCUUUUCUAUUUUACAUUUUUGGAUCAGGGAGCUCCAAAAAUUGGGAACCUGCUUAUUCUUCACUGAUUGGUUUUUUUUCUUCUCUGCGGAGUAGCAGUGUGCAGCGUUGUCACAGCGGUUGGAAGCAACUAGUUCUUGUUGAGCCGUCAUUGUGAUCUUGUUGUUAUAUCCCAUUGUGGUUUGGUAGUGGUCUAAAUCAUCUUUGUUAUUGCACUGAAGCUCAUCAUUUUUCCUAGUAGUUAUGGCUAAUGACGAACGAUUCUCUUUUUGUUGGCUCCUCGUCAAUAACUUUUUCAAAAUUAGGCGGCGUAAGCGGCACUAGUGGUGCAGCGUUGAUUGUCAACUACCGGUUACAAUUUUCCAUUUACUCUAGUGCGGUAGUGCUUGGCCGUGUUCGAAGGUUUUUGCAGUGCUGUGGUGCCGAUUAAGUAGUUAGCGCUUGUAUAGAUCUCAUUGUUCUCUGCUUGCAUUGUGUAGUGUGUGAAGAGUUCCAGUCUUUGCAAGGAAGGAUUGAUAGUGUCAAUUUCUUCCUAGUUGUUUGGCGAAGCUGCAGAGGUGGAGCUCAAGCAGCGGCUGAAUUCACUGCCCAUUGCAAACCUCACUCCCAUUAUCGGGAUUGCUUCACAUGCUGUUAUCUAAAAUAAACCCCAGUAGUGGUAGUUAAUUCUAAUUCACAACACCUAAAUUCUUUAUGUAUUUUAUCAAUUGAAUCUAUUGUUUAAGCCUU